rnacentral:rRNA from 1 species
AUUUGACCGUGCAAAGGUAGCAUAAUAGUUAGUUUUUUAAUUGGAAUCUUGUAUGAAUGGUUGGACAAAAGAAAUACUGUCUCUAUAAUUAUUCUUGAAUUUAACUUUUAAGUGAAAAGGCUUAAAUAUUUUAAGAAGACGAUAAGACCCUAUAAAGCUUUAUAAGAAGUUUAUAUUUAGUUAAAAUAAAUAAUAAAAUCUUAAUAUUUACUCUUAUUUUAUUGGGGAGAUAAAAUUAUAAUUUAAUAUAACUGAGUUUUAUUAAUACAAAAAUAAAUGUUUAUUAGUAGAUAAAAGAUCCCUUCUAGGGAUUUUAAGUUUAAGUUACUUUAGGGAUAACAGCGUUAUUUCUUUUGAGAGUUCAUAUCGAAAAAGAAGAUUGCGACCUCGAUGUUGAAUUAAAAUUUCUAGAUUAUUGUAGAAGUAAUCUUAGAAGGUCUGUUCGACCUUUAAAUUUUUACAUGAUUU